UAUUAACAUUGACAGUCGUUUAGUGAUGUCACCUAAAUCCUUACAAUCAUCUUCUUUUCCAGGGAAAUUCCGAGGAGUUCAGAUUCUUUCAUUCCUUCUGGUCCGAGGCAGCAUUGGUAUCAAGUGUUCCUAACAGGUGGGGGCAUAGGGGGUAUUGGUCAUACUGGUGUUGUUGGCGAGGACGAAGCUUGGGCAUCGGGCAGAAUGUUGCCACCUGCAUGAGUGGAACAGAGGAGCCUCAGUUCUGGUUCUCUUUCCUGAGACAACAACCACAGGAUGAGGCUUGAGAGGAGGUCUCAGGAGAGAGAAUGUUCCAUGACUUUCACACCUUCAACCUCAAGGUAAGGCUCCAUGCUUUAUAACUCCAGAUUGGUUUCGGGAUGUUGCUCUAUCAGUCUACAGUUGAUAUAA
rnacentral:lncRNA from 1 species